AACGCACAUUGCGCCCCUUGGUAUUCCGAGGGGCAUGCCUGUUCGAGCGUCAUUACAACCUUCAAGCAUUGCUUGGUAUUGGGCUCCGCUGUUCACCCAGCGGGCCUUAAAAUCAGUGGCGGUGCCAUCGAGGCCCUGAGCGUAGUAAAUAUCCUCGCUAUAGGGACCCGGUGGACGCUAGCCAUCAACCCCCAACUUUCUAAGUUUGACCUCGGAUCAGGUAGGGAUACCCGCUGAACUUAA
rnacentral:misc_RNA from 1 species